rnacentral:lncRNA from 1 species
CUCAGGAUUUCAGGAGAUGAUGAUGAUGGGAAUGGUGGCAUCUUCUGGAAAGUGGCCUUUGGUUCAAGUUCAGCUCAAUCCACCCUUCUAAUAGGUCAGCACUUUUCUGUCUUGUUAGUUGUUUCUAUCAGUGGGCCAAUCUCUGUAGUUAGAGGUGGAAAUCAAAUCAUAAUAAAUUGACUUGUUCCAUGAAGAAAUUUUUAUAUGCAAUGUGUUACAUAUCCGAGCUUCUUAUCAAAUGCUUACAAGUAUUAUUUUUUUUUAUUGAAAUGGAAUGGAGGAAGUGGGAUGCUUCCCCCAGAUGUUCUUUGCUGUGUGCACGAAACAUUUCUACACUCUAGAGUUCUCUAGGACCCAGUUAAAUUAAUAAUAUUAGUAAAACUGUUUACUUCAUAUAAAAAAGUCGAAAUUAUUCUUGAGCUGGGAGGAGGAUACACACAUUUUUUUAUAUUAUUGGAUGGAUAUUAUGUCACUUAAGGUUAUUUUGAUCAUUUUAUAAAUUUUUUCGAUGUGUCAUUUGGAUUCC